CCUACGGGUGGCAGCAGUGAGGAAUAUUGGUCAACGGGCGCGAGCCUGAACCAGCCAAGUCGCGUGAGCGAAGACGGUCCUAUGGGUUGUAAACCUCUUUUGUCGGGGAGCAAAGGAAGCCACGCGUGGCGUUCCGAGAGUACCCGAAGAAAAAGCAUCGGCUAACUCCGUGCCAGCAGCCGCGGUAAUACGGAGGAUGCGAGCGUUAUCCGGAUUUAUUGGGUUUAAAGGGUGCGUAGGCGGAAGGUAAAGUCAGCGGGAAAAUUGAGAGGCUCAACCUCGUAGUGCCGUUGAUACUGGUUUUCUUGAGUGCACGAGAGGUAGGCGGAAUGCGUGGUGUAGCGGUGAAAUGCAUAGAUAUCACGCAGAACUCCGAUUGCGAAGGCAGCAUACCGGCGCUCAACUGACGCUCAUGCACGAAAGUGUGGGUAUCGAACAGGAUUAGAUACCCCGGUAGUC
rnacentral:rRNA from 1 species